AGCCAAUGCCUGAAAUAAUGAACUCCUCCAAGGCAAGAAAUCUGUUUUGAAGCUUCUCUGCGUUCACACACAACAGCCUGGUUUCCUGGAAGGGCAUUUUCCACAUUGUGCAUUAUGGAUGAUCAUCCCGGGUAUCAGGAUGUGAAGCCCCGCAUCCACAUCCAGGGGCUAUCAAAUCUCUCUGCAAAAGGAGAAUCUGGACUCAGGCUCGUUUCCAGUGAUGUGUAUGCAGUUCUGUAAAGGAAGCUGCAGAAGAAAAAGGUGAAAGAGGUGAGGAAGCUGCAGAAGAAAACCUGGAAGUUAGCAGAGCUUGAUUCCAGAUGUUUAAGGAAAGAAGCCAUCUCCAUAACAUAAAAGUGCAAGGUGAAGCAGCAAGUUCUGAUGGAGAAGCUGCAGCAAGUCAUCCAGAAGAUCUUGCUAAGGGUAUGCACAGAUGUGGAAACAGGAACUGAUGUGUCCAUUACACCACUAGGACAGAGGCCAGAACAAUGAAGAAACCAAAUACUUGGAAGAGGGUAGAGAUAAUGAAUGAAGUCCAAGAGCACUGAUUGUGUCAUAAGUGUCCAGAUAAUUCCAUACCUGAGGAUUAUGUGGUUUGUAAACUUGGCACUUAGAAGAACCAAUAAAAUUAUGUUAUAGUUUCAA
rnacentral:lncRNA from 1 species